UACGUAGGGGGCAAGCGUUGUCCGGAAUCAUUGGGCGUAAAGAGCGCGUAGGCGGUCCGGUAAGUCCGCUCUGAAAGUCCGGGGCUCAACCCCGGGAAGGCGGGCGGAUACUGUCGGGCUAGAGUCCGGAAGAGGGCGAGUGGAAUUCCUGGUGUAGGCGGUGAAAUGCGCAGAUAUCAAGGAGGAACACCAAUGGCGAAGGCAG
rnacentral:rRNA from 1 species